rnacentral:rRNA from 1 species
GAUGAACGCUGGCGGCGUGCCUAAUACAUGCAAGUCGAGCGAACAGAUGAGGAGCUUGCUCCUCUGACGUUAGCGGCGGACGGGUGAGUAACACGUGGAUAACCUACCUAUAAGACUGGGAUAACUUCGGGAAACCGGAGCUAAUACCGGAUAAUAUAUUGAACCGCAUGGUUCAAUAGUGAAAGACGGUUUUGCUGUCACUUAUAGAUGGAUCCGCGUCGCAUUAGCUAGUUGGUAAGGUAACGGCUUACCAAGGCAACGAUGCGUAGCCGACCUGAGAGGGUGAUCGGCCACACUGGAACUGAGACACGGUCCAGACUCCUACGGGAGGCAGCAGUAGGGAAUCUUCCGCAAUGGGCGAAAGCCUGACGGAGCAACGCCGCGUGAGUGAUGAAGGUCUUCGGAUCGUAAAACUCUGUUAUUAGGGAAGAACAAAUGUGUAAGUAACUAUGCACGCCUUGACGGUACCUAAUCAGAAAGCCACGGCUAACUACGUG